CGCCCCCCCUCCUCCUCCUCCCCCCCCCCCCCCGCCUCCGCUUCCUCCCCCUCGCGGGCCGCCCUCUCCAGCCCCGCCCCGCUCCGCGCCGCGCCGGCCGCCCGCGGGUCUCCAUGGUGCCGGGCGCACGCGGGAGGCCGGCCGGCUAGGGACGCGGGGAUCGGCGCUCGAGGCAAGGUACUAUUUUCAGAAUCCAGGUGGAGUCUUCACACAGUAAAACAAUGCCAAGAGAAAAGGAAGGAAAACAAAAAACUAAAGGAAUACCCGUGCCCAUCGUUCCAAUUCUUCAAAAGUUCCUGAAAACAUACGAGAAGCACUGUGCCCAGACGCAGACAUUUGUGUGUCCAGCCAUCAAACAGGACUUGAAAACCAGCAUCAGCAGUGAACGGAUUCUCAGGAAAUUUAUGCUUGUAAGACCUGAAGAGUCCCCGCCAAGCAUCCCACCAACUUCCUUGGAACCUUUGCUCAUGACAAUUCAAGAUGAGUGUUAUAUGCUGGGGAGAGAGAUCUGUAUCUGGAGCCUUCAGCUGAGCAACCCAGAGAUUGCCAGACUGGCCUCACUUCUGGAGUUGAGGGGGUGUGCCGCCUGCCCAUUUACCAGCCUGGAGCUCAUCAACUGCAGGAUGGAUCUGUGGUCCCUCGGGAGACUUGGGAGGGCUCUGCCAUGCAGCUGUCUGCGUUCUCUCGUCCUCGAUUACUGCAGAUUUGGAAAUGAAGAAAUUGAGAAUAUUUUCUCAGGCCUGGAGAACAACCAAAGGCUUCAAGUCCUCAGUCUGCGCUACUGUGGUCUGGGGCCGCAGAGCGGGCCACGGCUGGGCGCCAUCAUAUGCCAGAGCUCCAUCUGUGAGCUGCACCUUGAUGGCAAUUACUUACAGUGCUCCGGGGCUCUGGCUCUCCUCAGACCCGCAGCAGAGUACGCAGAGAAGCAGGGCAGAGACCAGCCGGCCACAUCCCCACCAGACCCUGGGAGUCCCCCUCAGCAGCUUCGGGUCAAACAGAGGGGAAGUUCAACUUUGAACCAGACUACAAAGUCACCUGGAGCUCUUCCAGGGAAAACCACUGCAGGGAAGGAGCGGAGGAAAAAAGGAAUCAAGAAAAAAAUAAAAGAUUUGACUGAAGCUGGCCCAUGGUUAGUGAAAUUGUAUUUGGCAGAUAAUGGCAUAGACAGAAAAGGAAAAGAAGGAGAAAAUGGCUUAUUGGAAUUCACUCAAAUUUUAACAUGA
ensembl:lncRNA uncharacterized LOC100467314